CCUACGGGAGGCUGCAGUCGAGAAUCUUCGGCAAUGCGCGAAAGCGUGACCGAGCGACGCCGCGUGCGGGAUGAAGGCCUUCGGGUUGUAAACCGCGAAAGUAGGGAGGAAGGCCCCGUGAAGAACGGGGUUUGACCUAUCUACAGUAAGGACGGGCUAAGUUCGUGCCAGCAGCCGCGGUAAUACGAACCGUCCAAACGUUAUUCGGAAUUACUGGGCUUAAAGGGUACGUAGGCGGCGCUGCAAGUCGGGUGUGAAAUCCCUCGGCUCAACCGAGGAACUGCGCCCGAUACUGCCGUGCUCGAGGGAGACAGGGGUAAGCGGAACUGAUGGUGGAGCGGUGAAAUGCGUUGAUAUCAUCAGGAACACCGGUGGCGAAAGCGGCUUACUGGGUCUCUUCUGACGCUGAGGUACGAAAGCUAGGGUAGCGAAGGGGAUUA
rnacentral:rRNA from 1 species